UUAAAAAUCACACCUUUAAAUGCUGGUUCAGGUGUUGAGAUCAGGAGCAUUUCUAAGGGAUUUUAUCCCUCUCUCUUGUUCAGAUGUCUGUGUCAUCAGACAAUUCUAGGGAAUUGUCUUCUUCUUCUAGGAUUGAUAUCUAUAUAGGAUAUCUGAUAGGAACUUCUAGGGAAAGGCAGUAAAACAGAAGAGCAUGGUGCUCUUUUUACUAGAAGUCCACUUUUCCCUGCUUCCACUGAAAUGAUUGUCAGCUGCUGUUGACUUCAGGGGAAUGAGAAUGAAGUCCCAUGUGACAAAUAUUAAAAUUAUGGUAGUCCUAGACUUCUGAGUUUUAUAGGAAUGCAAUUAUCUUAAAUAUGAGCUGUUACUACCACCACAAAAAAAUAAAAAAACCCAACCAAAAAAAAAACCAACCAACCAAAGAAGGGGAGGGAUGCAAUUACCCAGAGAGCAAGUGGCAUGCUUUUCAUUGAUUAGACUGUCCUCUUUGAUUAAAUUCCUCAGUAUUUUUAAUUUUAUAGCCCUAAUUGCUGCCUUACAUUUUGCUUGGGUCCCUUUGUUCUAAUUCAUCUGCUUUCAGGUCCAGAUUUAUUUUUUUCAAUUCAUUCAGAUUCUCCACAAACUUCUCCUGUCACUAUGUGUUUUGUCUCUCUCUACAGAUGAUUAUUUGACAGAAAGUUUCCAUUGACUCCAGAGAAUGAGUCCUGUAAAUACCAUUUGCGGUUCUCAGAUGGAGUAGUUGCAAAAUGGAAUUGAUUAAAAGGUCAAAAAACAUUACUGUUGCAAUGUCUGAAUUGCUCCAUCAAAGUGUUAGUGGGACAAAUGUGUGCAAAUAUUUGCAUGAGACUAAUCUGGAUUUAAAAAAAAAAAAUCUUUGAUAUCAGCUUUCUGAUGUUUCCCAACAAGAGAAUUAUAGCCAAAAACUAUUUUCAAAUUAUAGCUAAAAACUAGUGUUUCCUCUUACACUAUUGUCAGUUAGUUGUAAAUCUGGAGGUAAUGAAGUUCCCUUAGACAGAGUAAGAUUCAGAAUCAGUAUGUAAACUAUUUUUAAAAUUCUGGAAAUUCUAAAUUGUUCAAAGUAGCAAUUUUGAAAACAAUAGUUUGAUUAGUAUAUUUAGCUAAGAAUUCUUGCAGAAAUUGGAAGUAACCAGAGCAUACCUGGAUCUUUCUACAGGAGAAUCACUGAUGGGGAGCCAGUGAGCAUCAGUAACCCCAGACUUGUUUCUCAUACUGUGCAUGGCACAGGACAAGAGGUGGUUGUGUGACCUCUCUUGCUCAGCAAGCCACAGAAGGCCAGCAAAGUCUAAAAUGUGAUGAUACUGAUUAAUAUGGGUGUCAUAUAUGGGGCUUGGCAAAAGGUUAAUUCUCAUCUUAUUUCCACAGCAGCCUUCACUGUCUUUUUAUCUAGCCAUCCUACAGGAUGCAAAUUUGCUCUGCCCUACUUGAAAAACAUCCACAAAUAAUUAUUGGCCACUGCAUCCUGGACAUCUGCACUGAAUCUUGACAGAGACAACAUAAUCAUAAUUUUUAAUGGCAGCUGGGUAAGCCCCAUAUGAUGCCUUCUCCUUGUGAUUUUUCUAGCAGCAAAUAUCAGAGCUGAAGUGAUCAGUUCAUGGUAAAACACAAACCUUUGCUUCACGAUGAAAGCAAAGCCUUGCUGUGUAUAACCUCUUUGUCUCUCUGCUCACUUGAGAGCAGAGAGAGAUAAUUUAUGUCUGUCUGCAACAUCUUUUGUGAACUGAGCACUUGAACUAAGCCUCAAGAGACUAAAUAGGGAGCUGUUUCUACCUCUUCUUAUCUGCUCUUGUGAAGGAAGAACUUAUUUUGGGAUGUAGUAAGACGCUUUGGCUCACUCCUGGUUUAGGUAGGCAAUCAAUGGGCAGGAAGACUGUACACAAAUUCCUUGUAAAAUUUGUAUGUGUCUUGGGUGAAUUUAAGAAUAGACUUAACAUUUACUUCAAAUCCUCAUUGCAAAUUCACAGGAGGGCUGAGGCUGGAAGGGACCUGGGUCAUCUGGCCCAGCUUCCCUACUCAAGCAGAGCCAGUUGCGCAGGACCACGUCCAGAAGGCUUCCAAGCAUCUCCAGUAACGAGGGCUCCACAACCUCUCUUGGCAACCUGUGCCAGUGCUUGGUCACCCUCACAGGACCAAAGUGUUCCCUGCUGCUCAGAAGGAAUCUCUUGUGUCUCAGUUUGUGCAUGUGGCCUCCUCUCCUUGACUGGGCACCACAGGAAACACCCUGGCUCCACCUCCUUUGUGUCCUCACUGCAGGCUGCUCACACUCUCCUGAGGAAGGGACACGCACAAGGGAAGAAAAACAGUGAAUUCAAGAGCAUGGAGCUGCUGGAAAACAAGGAACCCUCCCCUGUGAUAACAAUCCUGUGAGUGAAGCUUCAUCACCAGUGUUAGGCACAGCUAUUGCAGCACAGGGCUGUCAACUCUCAUUAUUUAGGAACUCAGCAAAUGGAUUGCAUUACUUCUUCAAACAGUCUUCUGAAAUCAGGCUGUGGAACAGAACAAGAGGCACCAGUGCAGCUAGAGACUGUCACAUGGUUUGAAUUGAAGCAAACAUCUUUCCUCCCCUUGCAGCAUCAAGGAGGGUCAGUGCUGGUGCACAACCAGGCAAUUGAAAUGCAAAAUAAACAUGCUGGGGUUUUUUUUCUUUUGAGUGGAAGUUUAGAACUGUUCAGGGUGGAAGUAAAAUAUUCAGUUAAGAAUAAGGCUCACAAAUACAAAAAUAUAAGGGAGAUUAUAGCAAGCAGUGGACAGUUUAACCUGUUUUUUGGGUUUCCACUGUGUCAUGGUAGUCUGUGGAAAGUUUGAAGUUUGUGAAAAUUCCAGUAAUAUAAUCAAGUCUGUUUAAUGGAAAUUCCUGUCCUUUUGUACAGCAUUUGUAGUAAAUUACCAGACUGGAGUACCCACACAUUGGAAUAUUUAAUUCUUAUGAUGCUCUACUACCAUUAUGGGCCUUUCAAUAUUUCAUCAAUGACUUGCCACUUAUAAAAUGAAGCAGCAGUAGGACAGAAUUCUUUUUGGACGUAAGAGGGCAAUGGCUACAUAAAUCCAUAAUUCAGCAUAUAGAGCUAAAUUACAAAUGAAUAAAAUAAUUUCUUUUCACAACCUAAUUUUUGUUAAAUGUGUGCUAAACAGCACUGUCCCUAAAAUAUGCUCUGUGUGACACAAAUACAAGACUGUUUAUAACUCGUUUAUAAAACCUGUAGAUAUUUUGCUUCUGUGGGACUUCUACGGUCAGUAGCACUUACCUCUACUGUUUGCUUUUGGUCUUCUGCUUAGGGAUUGUGUAGAGCCUAAAACAUUUUAAAAUAAAGUUUCAUGGAAAGCA